CACAGGAUGGGGAGUCCCAUAGUAG
rnacentral:misc_RNA from 1 species